AUGGUGUUUUUUAAUGGGAACCAGAAGUUGAACAAUUACAUAGUCCAGCACAAAAAAACCUGUAUGCUGUCAGGAGUUGGAAGCUUACAAAGUAAUGAGAGUAGCACUGGAUACAAGAAGGAAAACAGUUCCAGGUUCCAGAGCCAGGCUAAUACAACCUCUCCCUGCAAGCCUGUCUGUGCUCCCUCCUCAGUUCCAUCUUACCAAGGCCAAAGCCGCCUCUGUCCUCAACACCCCAGCCCCCUUGGAAGCCCUUACAGUCCCCACCACAGCCCCAGUAGGCACAUUGAUCAUAACCUCCUCUACCACCAUGACAAUCAUCUCCAUCGUUACCCACCAUAUGAGAGCCUCUGGUUCCCCACCUGGGCCAUCUGGUUUAGGGGACUUACACUGGUUGCAUUCCAUUCACUCCUCCAAGGAAUCAUGCAGAAAACCAUCACCACCACCAUCGCCAUCAUCACCAUCAACACCAUCAUGAACACCAUCAACACCAUCACCACCACCACCACCAUCGCCAUCAACACCAUCACCAACACCAUCAACACCAUCACCACCACCAUCACCAUCAUCACCAUCAACAUCAUUACCACCAUCACCAUCACCAACACCACCAACACCAUUAACACCACCAUCACCCUCAACACCAUCACCAUAACCAACACCAACACCAACACCAUCAUCACAAUCACCAUCACCAUCAACACAUCAAUACCAUCAACACCACCAUCAACACCAACACCACCAUCACCAUCAACACCAUACCAUCAUCACUAUCACCAUAACCAACACCAACACCAUCAUCACAAUCACCAUCAACACAUCAACACCAUCAACAUCACCAUCACCAACACCAUCACCAUCAACACCACCAUCACCAUCAACACCAUCAACAUCAUCACUAUCACCAUCAACACCUCACCAUCAACACCACUAUCACCACCAUCAACACCACCAUCGCCAACACCAUCAUCUGUUACCAGCAUCACCAUUGACACCAUCCCCAUCCCCAUCAUCAUCAUCACCAUUAAUCAUCAAAUAACCCAUCAUCAGCAUCAUCACCAUCAUCACCAUGAAGCCACACCAGGAUGCAGAGUGUGUUGA
rnacentral:lncRNA from 1 species